AGACUAGUUUGCCAGGACUGGACAACUAGUGACCACUGAGAGGAUUUAAAUCUAACACUAGGUGAUCAAUCGAGAUGUAGGUGCUGGAAUCAAGAUUAGCACAUAGUAACACAGUAGAAUAAUAUAAGCUUAUUGUAUUUGCAGAUAUAUAGUGCUCAGAUGGGAACUCAAAUGGGACCCCAGUUCACCCGUCCGUCACAAUCUGGACAGACACCAAACACCAAUGAAACACAGGGUUCUGAGACCGGACAAGGAAAUCCACAGAUGGACAUACAGUGGUCGAUGCCCCCUAGAGGACAGAUUCUUCCUCCUCCACAACCAGGUAUGGGAUAUUGGCCGCCACCACCAUGGGGAUAUCCUACACAUCCAAUGGCGCCUUGGGGACGCCCCCCAUGGCCAACACAGCCACUUCCGUCAUCAGCAGAUUCCGGCUCUCAUCAAGUGACUCCUCCCCC